GCUGCAACCAAAGCCAAACAAGUAGGAAAAGCCGGGAAGCCUGUACCGUGACCAGUAACACAUCCGUCGAACCAUUGGUGUUGAAUUCAAUCAAAGUUCAUGAUGGAUCAGAAAGGAAUUGGAGAUAGCUAAUCCAGAAUACCAACGUAAGCGACAGGAAGGGACAGGAUGGUCUAUGACGAGGAAAAUUCAGGCUGAGUCGUACAUCGCCAGUCGACAUCUUGAUCAGCAAGAUUGAUUAUGAUUAAUAUAAGUUAAUCCUUAGUGUGUUCUUUUGUUGCAAAAUAAAGGUUAUUGUUGUGAUUGACAAUAGAUCAGCUAUCA